CAAUCCCAUCAGCAACCAGACAACACAUCUGGACAUCACUCAACUCUGUCACACAUGUUCAGUUCCUCCAGUCUCUGUAUCUCUGAUAGUGCUGAUCUCUGCUGCUGCUGGAUCUCUGUUGAUUAUAGCUGCAGUCGGGAUCUUCUGCAUCUGCAGGAAAUGUCAGACAAAAAGGAAAGACAGGACUCAUUCAGGACUGUUUAAA